CCAGAUCACAAAAUUAAGGAUAUAUUACCCAACUUUGAUGUGGAAUAAAAAACGUGUUUUCCAGUGAGCCACAGGAUGUUGGUGUGACACAGAGGAGGACAACAACUGAAAACACACACAAGCAUCUUUUUCAGUGACUCCUUCUCCAUUAUGAGAGGUGCUUCAGUGCAGAAAAAACCUCUCGGCCUCCUCCCUCGAUCUCCGUCUCUCCUGCUCCAGCUCCAGUGAUCUGCGAGUCUGUUCCUCCAGCUCUGUGGAAAGUCAGACACACAGACACAUUAGACAUCAUUCCUACACAUUUCAAGUGAUUUAGCUGGCCUAGCAUGACCUGGAUUUAACAGACAGGAGGAAAGAGGAGGCAGAGGAGAUGUAGGAGCCAUACAUGUAAGUUUUGCAUUUUUUAUUAAUUGCUUAUUGAAUUAGCAUAUGGGUUAUAGGUGUGUCACUACCAGGUGUAUUUGGCAAUAAAUGACUGCUCUCAACAGUUCACUGGUUGCUGCUUGUCGGUCCUGAUAUAGUGUGUGCAAUAUCUUUUGUUGAGCGCAUCAAUGCGUAUUUCUAUUUUUAUUUCCAUCUGUUAUUUCCCUCUUUGUUAGCAAGGGCAUGAGCCUUCUAAUGUGUAGCGUGUAUAAUAAAAAAGUGGUAGAGCCACUAAGAAUCACAUGUGUUUGAGAGUGUCAUCAGUAAGCCAUUUAGCCAAC